rnacentral:rRNA from 1 species
AAUGAACGUUGGCGGCAUGGAUUAGGCAUGCAAGUCGAGCGGGUGUAGCAAUACAUCAGCGGCGUAAGGGACAGGAACACGUAGACUACCUGCCCUCGGGUCUGGGAUAGCCACGGGAAACUGUGGGUAAUACCAGAUGACAUCUCCGGAUCAAAGGUGUGAUUCCGCCCGAGGAUGGGUCUGCGUCCUAUUAGCUAGUUGGUGAGGUAACGGCUCACCAAGGCAAUGAUGGGUAGCAGGUGUGAGAGCACGACCUGCGUCAUUGGGACUGAGACACUGCCCAGACACCUACGGGUGGCUGCAGUCGAGAAUUUUUGGCAAUGGGCGCAAGCCUGACCAAGCGAUGCCGCGUGCGGGAUGAAGGCCUUCGGGUUGUAAACCGCUGUCAGUGGGGAGAAAAGGUAGGUGGGUUCUCUCAUCUAUUUGAUCUAUCCGCAGAGGAAGUGUGGGCUAAGUUCGUGCCAGCCGCCGCAGUAAGAC